ACCUGGCUAGCUCAGUCGGUAGAGCAUUAGAUUCUUCAUCUCAGGGUCGUGGGUUUGAGCCCCACGUUAGGCA
rfam:Danio rerio chromosome 4, GRCz11 reference primary assembly.